ensembl:rRNA 5S_rRNA 5S ribosomal RNA
GCUUACGGCCAUACCACCUUAGGCACGCCCGAGCUCGUCUGAUCUCGGAAGCUAAGCAGGGUCGGGGCUGGUUAGUACUUGGAUGGGUGACCGCCUGGGAAUACCAGGUGCUGUAAGCA